CAGUAGCCGCGGUAAAACGAGGGGGGCAAGCGUUGUUCGGAAUUAUUGGGCGUAAAGGGCGCGUAGGCGGUUUGGCAAGUUUCGUGUGAAAUCUUCGGGCUCAACUCGAAGUCUGCACGGAAAACUGCCGGGCUUGAGUAUGGGAGAGGUGAGUGGAAUUUCCGGUGUAGAGGUGAAAUUCGUAGAUAUCGGGAGGAACACCAGUGGCGAAGGCGGCGACCUGGGCCAAUAUUGACGCUGAGAUGCGAAAGCGUGGGGAGCAAACAGGAUUAGAUACCCGAGUAGUCCCUGUGUCUUAUAC
rnacentral:rRNA from 1 species